AUAUUGUGGGCAUUGUAGUAAAAGUGAUUUAAAGCGAUCCCAUGCUUCAUAAAAGGAUUCAGUAUCCUUUUGAUAAAAAUUAAAAAUUUCAGCCUUUAAUUU
rnacentral:snoRNA from 1 species